rnacentral:rRNA from 1 species
GACGAACGCUGGCGGCGUGCCUAAUACAUGCAAGUAGAACGCACAGUUUAUACUGUAGCUUGCUACACCAUAGACUGUGAGUUGCGAACGGGUGAGUAACGCGUACGUAACCUGCCUGGUAGCGGGGGAUAACUAUUGGUAACGAUAGCUAAUACCGCAUAAUACUGAUUAUUGCAUGAUAAUUUAUUGAAAGAUGCUAUUGCAUCACUACCUGAUGGACCUGCGUUGUAUUAGCUAGUAGGGGAGGUAACGGCUCACCUAGGCGACGAUACAUAGCCCCAAGGAGGGGGUGGUCGGCCACACUGGGACGGAGACACGGCCCAGACGGCUUGGGGAAGGAGCAGUAGGGAAACUUCGGCAAUGGACGAAAGUUUGACCGCGCAACGCCGCGGGAGUGAAGAGGGUUUUCGGAUCGUAAAGCUCUGUUGUAAGGGAAGAACGGGUGUGAGCGUGGAAAGUUCACUGUGUGACGGUAUCUUACCAGAAAGGGACGGCUAACUACGUG